rnacentral:rRNA from 1 species
GACAGAGGUGCCAAGCGUUAGGCGGAAUCACUGGGCUUAAAGCGUGUGUAGGCGGACCUGUAAGUACCUUGUGAAAUCCCACGGCUUAACCGUGGAACUGCUGGGUAUACUGCUGGUCUUGAGCCAACUAGGGGCUACCGGAACAAAUGGUGGAGCGGUGAAAUGCGUAGAUAUGCGGAGGAACACCGAUGGCGAAGGCAAUCCCCUGGGCCUGCACUGACGCUCAUGCACGAAAGCGUGGGGAGCAAACAGG